UACAGAGGUGGCAAGCGUUGUUCGGAAUUACUGGGCGUAAAGAGCGCGCAGGCGGUCGUACAAGUCGCGUGUGAAAGCCCCUGGCUCAACUGGGGAGGGUCACGCGAUACUGUUCGACUCGAAGGCAGGAGAGGGAAGUGGAAUUCCCGGUGUAGUGGUGAAAUGCGUAGAUAUCGGGAGGAACACCAGUGGCGAAGGCGACUUCCUGGCCUGUUCUUGACGCUGAGGCGCGAAAGCUAGGGUAGCAAACGGG
rnacentral:rRNA from 1 species